CGGAACGUAGCGCAGCCUGGUAGCGCGCUUCCUUGGGGUGGAAGAGGUCGCGUGUUCGAAUCACGCCGUUCCGA
rnacentral:tRNA from 1 species